rnacentral:rRNA from 1 species
GACGAACGCUGGCGGCGUGCUUAACACAUGCAAGUCGAACGAAGUGGCGAACGGGUGAGUAAUACGUGAGUAACCUGCCCUCCUUUUUGGGAUAAGCCUUGGAAACGGGGUCUAAUACCGAAUAAAGGGGGAUGGGCUCGCGGCCUAUCAGCUUGUUGGUGGGGUGAUGGCCUACCAAGGCGGUGACGGGUAGCCGGCCUGAGAGGGUGACCGGCCACAUUGGGACUGAGAUACGGCCCAGACUCCUACGGGAGGCAGCAGUGGGGGAUAUUGCACAAUUGGCGAAAGCCUGAUACAGCGACGCCGCGUGGGGGAUGAAGGCUUUCGGGUUGUAAACCUCUUUCGGUAGCGAGACGUUAACUACAGAAGAAGCACCGGCUAACUCCGUGCCAGCAGCCGCGGUAAUUC